UGUCUGCGCGUGCGCCUCAGCCGGUGCCGCCACUUCCGCCGCCGUUCUCGCUCGGUUCCGGUUUCUUUCUCCACCUACUCCGCCGUUAGUGAUCUCCCUUAAUGUGACCUCCGUGCGUGCUGGGAGAUUCGGGACGAGUUGUGAGCCAGUUUGCAGUCUGGGCCUCAGUCUCCGUCGCACAGAGUCAAAGUAACCCCAAUGCGGAGCCAGGGUCUCUGGUCAGCCGUCAGGUGCAGCACCCGUGACCGCGGACAGAGUCGGCUUUGCCUUUACUCGGCGCCUGCCGCACCCGCGUUGUGUGCAGUCUUCACGGCCACCCCGCGAGGCAAACAACUGCUGAAUACCACAUGAAGGUGCCCGCGACAGAGUAAGAGUGUUGCUGUUUUGUUGUGAUGUGUUACCGUUAAACCCAGGGCCCUGCAUAUGCGUGCUAAGCACUGAGCUGCUCCCUGUCCUGGGCUGAGGGUAUUUCAGGUGGUCGUAUCUUGAAGAGGGCGUACAGUUAUUGACCACUCUACUUUAUCCCCUGUCCUCGUCAAGUUCCCACUCUGGCUCUUCUCCCAGACACCUGGCUGUGGCAGACACCCACCCUUGACCAUCACUCCAGCCCACAUGGCGCAUACAGGAUCCCAGAUGUGAAAUCAGUCUCACAGAGACAAGGGCCUGGAAAGGCAUAGCCGGGAGGGAGCUAAGGAAGGCUGGAGUCACUCCAUGGGGACAAAAGGACACCUCAGCUUAUCUCUGCCAGAGGAAAUCAUGAGAACCAGAAAAGCACUCCACAAACCCAGCUGCACAUAUGGAAAUCUGUCCACGCAGUGUGCAGACCUGCCUGCCUUGAUUGGGCGAGGUGACGACUACAAAUAAGAAGGGACAUGGGGAAAUCAGCCCCUCGCAGCGCACCAUCCCGGGGGCCUGCAUGACACCAGCUUCCCUCCAGGAGCCUGGGAGUGUUACCGUCGGUGUCGGAGUGGAUGACGUCCACGAACAGGGCGUCACUGGGAUCCAACCUGUCCUCUGAAGGUCUCCCGUUGAAGGAAGGGCCCGCAGGGUCAAGACCUGGAAGGAAAGCAGCGUGGUUUGGCAGCCCCGCGCCAUG